rnacentral:rRNA from 1 species
CGCAGCCGCGGUAAUUCCAGCUCCAAUAGCGUAUAUUAAAGUUGUUGCAGUUAAAAAGCUCGUAGUUGAAUUUCGGGAUUGGCGCAUCGGUCGUGCCUUACGGGGUAUGAACUGGUGCAGUCAAUUUCUCACCUUCUGGAGAACCGCGAUGUCCUUAAUUGGGUGCCGCGGGGAACCAGGACCUUUACUUUGAAAAAUUAGAGUGUUUAAAGCAGGCAUUUUUGCUUGAAUACAUUAGCAUGGAAUAAUAAAAUAGGACGGCAUGGUUCUAUUUUGUUGGUUUCUAGGACCACCGUAAUGAUUAAUAGGGAUAGUUGGGGGCAUUAGUAUUCAAUUGUCAGAGGUGAAAUUCUUGGAUUUAUUGAAGACUAACUACUGCGAAAGCAUUUGCCAAGGAUGUUUUCAUUAAUCAAGAACGAAAGUUUAGGGGAUCGAAGACGAUCAGAUACCGUCGUAGUCUUAACCAUAAACUAUGCCGACUAGGAAUCAGACGAUGUUAAUUUUUAAUGUACUCGGUUUG